rnacentral:rRNA from 1 species
GGGAUUGCAAUGAGAACAAUUUAAAAACCUUAUCGAGUACCAACUGGAGGGCAAGUUCUGGUGCCAGCAGCCGCGGUAAUUCCAGCUCCAGUAGCGUAUAUUAAAGUUGCUGCAGUUAAAAAGCUCGUAGUUGAAUUUCUGUUUGUAAGAGUCGAAGCUUUACAGCUAAGAUUUCUUCGAACAUCUGUUUGCCAAGCAUACGUUCGGCCUUCACUGGUUGGCUAUGUAAGCAAGCGCUUUACCUUGAGAAAAUUAGAGUGUUCCAGGCAGGCUUCAGCCGGAAUACAUUAGCAUGGAAUAAUGGAAUAGGACUGGGGACUAUUUAUUGGUUUGAGGCUCCAGUAAUGAUUAAUAGGAACAGUCGGGGGCAUUGGUACUUAACAGUCAGAGGUGAAAUUCUUGGAUUUGUUAAAGACUAACUAAUGCGAAAGCAUUUGCCAAGCAUGUUUUCAUUAAUCAAGAACGAAAGUUAGGGGAUCAAAGACGAUUAGAUACCGU